rnacentral:rRNA from 1 species
UACGGAGGGUGCAAGCAUUGAUCGGAAUUACUGGGCGUAAAGGGCGCGUAGGCGGUUAGGAAAGUCAGAUGUGAAAUUCCGGGGCUCAACUCCGGAGCUGCAUUUGAAACUUCCAGACUAGAGUACAGUUAGGGAAAACGGAAUUCCACGUGUAGCGGUGAAAUGCGUAGAUAUGUGGAAGAACACCGGUGGUGAAGACGGUUUUCUGGGCUGAAACUGACGCUGAGGCGCGAAAGCAAGGGGAGCAAACAGG